GCUGCUCGUCCGAGCUGCAGGAGGCCGAGAUUGUCUGAAACAAAACAAAAAAUCAAAAUGAAGAUCUCUUAGUUUCAGGUUGAUUGAUAAUUAGUUAAACCAUAUGGGAGACCAAUACAAUAUUCCAAAACUUGAUGUAAAACAAAAACUAAAAACCUGAGUAAGAUCAGGGUAUAGUAAACAAAAACAGAGUCUCCAUUUCUAGCCAAACUUAAAAGUUACUACUUGCAUGGCAUAAUUGCAUCAGACUGUGUUAUAUUUCAUCUGUGAUUACAUAAUGAUGUUAAAACAAUCUGAGGCCUGCUUCCAGCAAUUAGGAUUAAGAAAAAUCUCAAUAUAAAUUCAUACAACAAACCAAACAGAUGAUACAACCAACAAAACUGUCUAGUCAGCUGGAAAUCUCGACUACUUGUGACAAUGGAUGCUAAACAAUGCUAAAAGGUAGGAAGAAAGAAGUCUGAGAAAGCAUGAACAAAGAAGCAGCAGUAUUUCUCAAGAUUCCAUUACUUCUAGCUAUUUUGCUGUGGGCUUUUUUUGGUCCCUUUUUUCCUUUCUUGCUUCCAUGACAGUGAAAAGGACUUGGUGGCAAUCAGAACUGCAUUUUUUUCUCUAGGAUUUAAACACAGUAUUAUUUUGUGAGACUUCCUGAAGCCUGUCAUUAUGGAUAGAAUGAGUUAAUAGUUCACUGCUUACCACCUAGAUAAAAUAAAACCAGCACUCCCA